CUUUAUUUCUCUUUUCUUCUGGUUCAUGUUGGAAGAGAAAAACUUGAAGAUUAACCACCACCUGAAAAAGCAUUUCCCAAGAUGCUGAAAUCACUGGUUCUGUAGUAUACAAAGUCACAGUUUAGCAGGACAACCAGAGGCCAGCGGAAUGGAAAACACCUUGCCUUGAAAAUAUGCAUGUCUUACCUGAGUUUGAUUAAAAUACAUUUGCACACACCU
rnacentral:lncRNA from 9 species